GGCUUUUUCCAUGUGGCCCUGUGGGACGUGGCAUGCCCUCUGCUCUUGGGAACUUCUGGAAACUGAGCCAGAUUGACAUGUUGGAGCUGAGAUUUCCAUGUCUGGAGAGGGAAAAAUCUUGACUUGUGUCAUUAUGGGGAAAAAGGCAAGGCUCAGACUGUGGACUUUGCAACCUUUCAGGCGCUCCUCAGGUGAUUCUAAUGUUCAGCCAGCGUUGAGAACCACAUGCAGCAGGUGAGAAAACUGAAGUCCAAGAUGGUGGAUUGAAUUGUCCAAGGGUUCAGAGAACGACAGAACUAGAAUUCACAUUUUUGGGCUCUUGGGGCCCUGUGAUUUAAUCUAAGAACUUUGCAUAUGAUGACCUGACUUUACCUAUCUAUUUAUCAACUAUCUAUUUAUUUAUCUGUGCUUCAUGCUCACCUCACAUUGGAAAUGACUUGCGGGCGCUCCAGAGGGAAAGGUCACAGGUGACUGGCGAAGCGAGGGGCCUCAGGCUGGCUUGUGCCGAGAGAUGCAUGGGAUGCUGGUGACGCGCCUGCUCUGCUCACGGGCCACAGUCUGAGCUGAGCCCCCGCAGCUGUCUGUGUCAGGAAGGUGCUGAAAGAGGGUGCAGAGACCACUGUGGAGCCAGCUGGACCCCAGGGGCAGGGCAGGGGCUUGGGGCAGCUCCCGCUGGCUCUUUGAGCUGGGGAGAGGGCUGUUGGCCCGUUCCUGUGGCCUCCAGCAGACUUGUGAAGAGCUGCUACCAAAAUGGAGGAGUUUUGAAAACAGCCCAGGAGGCGGGAGAGGAAACAUUUAGAGAAGAAAUAAACAAAAGAGGCGACAGACUUCUCACUCUAGCAAAAGGGGCUUUGGCUUACCUGUGAAACUUCACUCCUCCUCUUCCCCUGGCCUAAAAUUUAUCAAGCUAGUCCACCGCUCCCAGAGAUGACUCAGUUUUAAAGCCCUAGUUCUGAGGACCAUAUUGGUCCUGCUGUGUCUUAGCACCCAGUGUUGAUGAUACGCCGGCUUAAAUUCCAGCCGAAAGGUUAAGACAAAGCCAACUGACAGACUCGAGUGUCUGGCGUUAGUCAUAUCGUUACUAUGUUUGUUAACAGCUAACGUUUAUCAAGGGCUUACCAUGCCAGGCAUCACGCUAAACCCUUAACUGGCACCGUCUCCUUGAAUCUUUGUCCUCACCACAGCUCUUUGAGAUGGCGACUAUUUAAUGGGCCCAUUUUAUAGAUGGGGCAACCAACAUAAAGAGAAGUCCAAAAUCACACAGUUGGUGGAUAAAAGAACAGGACUUUGAACCUAGUUCUCACUUGGAAGGAAAAAAAAAAAAAACUAGUGGGAAGGAAAGUAGUAAAGGAAAGAAAUUGAGUCUGCUUCUAAGACUGUGAGCUGCCUGAGCACCUGAGUAUGUCUGGCCUGGAGAAAGCCCCAGAAAGCAAACAGACAGGGUGAGCACAUGUUUUUUAUGGAAGCUUCCUUGAAGAUGUGUUUCUGUCUAAAUACCUGCUUUGCAGCCAGCUGUCCAAGAGGACAUCACAAGAACAGGACAUUCUUGGGAUACUGGGACACUGUAAGGUCUAUUAGGAUGCUGGGCCUCCCCCAGGAGCCAUAUCACAUUUUUCACUCUGCCAGGGGGAGGGAUGAAGUAGUUUUCCCAUUAAUUAUGCUGGAAGUUCUUAUAUUUGUUGUAGUGGGGACUUCUCUUUCUUUGGAGAUGCAGUUUGAGAGUUAACGGUUGAGAGCAGAGGUUUUGUAGAUUUAAAUCCUUGUUCAGGGACUUUCCUAGUGGUCCAUUGGCUAAGACUCUGCGCUUCCGAUGGAGGGGGCCCAGGUUCGAUCCCUGGUCAGGGAAUUGGGUCCCACAUGCUGCAACUAAGGAUUCUGCAUGCAGCAACAAAGAUCAAAGAUCCCAGGUGCUGCAGCAAAUACCCGGCACAGCCAAAUAAGUAAAUAAAAUAAAUAUUUAAAAAAAUGCAUGUUCAGCAGUUUGUUAUUUUGUGACUUUGGACAAUCUGCUUACUGCUGUGGGUUUAAGUUUCCUCAUCUGUAAAAUGGUGAUAGUACUAACACCUGCUUCACAGGAUUAUGAAGAAAAUAUGAGAUAAUGCAGUGACCUUGAUGUCUGGCAUGUUGUAAAUGUUCAAUAAAGGGUAAUUAUUAUGGUUAUUUAAUGGUUUUAAGGAGAUGGUUUGGUCUAGGCAGAUGGGGGUUAAAGUUUCUGGUUUCUCAGAAGGCCACCAGCAUCCUCUAUGCUCAACUGAGAAUGAGAAUAUUGUCGAAAUGGCAGGGUCAAGGAAAAGUCAUGUUUCCCAUUGAGUAUUUUGAGUAUUUCCAGUGAAUUAAUAAGCUGCCGAGAAGGAUAUUUGAAAGUUGUGCUGCAGACCACAGCAGCUACCGAAGAGAAGGUUUUCUUUUCCAAAUCUGGAUGUCUACAACCCAUAGAAAAAAGAUAUUUUGGGCAUCCCAUGUUUAUUUCUACCCAUGUCCUUUUUAGGCAGAGGGCUUCCAGAACCAAGAACUGUGCUAAGUACAAGUGAAAGGGGAAAAAAAGUUAUUUUUCAUUUCUAGGCAAUAUGUACAUAGUUUAUCAACAUGAUCACAAUCUUUAGAGAGCUAAACUUAAAUGGAAAAUGCGGAAACAAUUUAAGUGGUACGUUUUUUGCCAUACUUUAUAUUCUUGUCCCGCCCAUUUCUUUUAGAGUGUAAACCAAUCUAAAAUGCCCUACAGAACAUUUAAAUUUUACAGAGCCGGUGGAACACUGCCCAUUUUUGCAAAUGGAAGGGUCAGAGGCAGUUAUUUGCUAAUACAGCAAGCCCCAGGCAGGCAGAUUUGCGUCCCAGCCAUAUUUGUGUUUCCCAAGAGGCUUUGCAUGAAGUGAGUGCUUAAUAAAUACUGGUUGAAUAAAUAAGUUUUGUUUUCUAGCUUUCUUUCCCCUCUGCAGUUCAAAUUGUUGGUUUAAAAAUUUUUCCUCAUCACAAUUUCCGAAAGUUUAAACACUAAGGUUUGUGUUACAUAUGUAGGUAUGUAAAAUAACAAUUAAUUACAAAACUCUGUUUUAUGCUGUAGCUAGUGAAAAAUGGUGGCCUCUCUUUUACGACUUCUAU